UCUACAAUUACAAUUCCGCUGAGCGUAUACAGAAGACUGAUCGUGAGAAUAAUGAUCGUCAGGCGAUUCAAGUAAAUUCUUCAGACAUUAUUUUGAAAAGAUAAAAAAGAAAAAGAAAAAAGUUGCAGCAGAGGAUCGGGUAGCAAAAUGGAAAUGGUGAAAAUAUUAAUAAACUGCUCGUUUCUCCUAUGCCAAACUGGUCGCAAGUGUCUCGCAACCAAGUGUUUGCACUUUGGUUUUUUCGAACAAUAAGAAAACGAGAACGAGAACGAGAACGAGAAGAAGAAGUGACUCGCGUGUCUUUAAUGGGGGAAAAAAUCAAGUAUUUUUCGGCUACGGGUUGACGAACUUGAAAUUCUUGUCCAAUGGAAUAAACAGCAAGUGCUCUUUCCUUUUAAAAAUAAAGGAAAAUCAAGUGAAAAUGAUAAGUAUUUCGAGCCGAAAGGUUAAAGUUUCUUCUUUCUCAUCGUCAGAUGGGCUUUCGAGCGUACCUAAUUCGGUAAGGACGCGAAUACGACGACGUUGCUUCAGAGACAACUGGGAAUAUUCGGUCGAAACGAUUCAAACUGACGUAAAUAAUCGUUUGAAAUGGCGCGGCGAAUAAAAACCGUUUCCGUUCGAGCAAACUCGUUGCAUCAGUUUGCCUUACCUUGUUCGCUUUUGCUCGCGAUGCAUCCCCCGAGGCGAGUCAAUUUCAGAAGGAGAGAAAUGAAAAUAUCUAUUCGUCGAAACGACAAGAAAACUACGCCAAGCAGCCUGGCUUGUCUAGUGGUGAAAAGAAACGUUAGAAAAGUUGAAUUUUCCAACACCGCCAUAGCUUUUUGCAUAAUAAAACGAUUACGUGAUGGGGUUCGCUGCAAACAAUUUGGCUGAAAUUGCCGUACGUGCGCGAUUCGUGGAGAUAAGCACUGGAGAGAACGGAAACGGCCCUCUUGAGGACGCGACCGAGCGUCAUCUCGUCGCUGCCCUCGCGCUACCUCUUCCUUCUUCGUGUCUUACAAAAAAUUUACCUCCACGUUACUUUGCACACUUGUCGACUUCUACCAAAGACCGAGAAAGAAAGAAAGAAAGAAAGAAAGAAAGAAAGUUGCUCGUCUACUUUGCUUAGAAAUUCUCCAAUUAUCAUUUCUUAACCCCUUCAACGGUAACUGAAAACUAACAAUUUUAACAGAAAGAAUGGAA